UUGAUGAGACUGCAUUGCUGAAAAUUUGAAAGAUAAGUAUAUUUUAUUUUUAAUUUAAUUUAAUUUUACUUUAAUUACCUUGAUAACGGUAGUAGAUAUAACUAUCGAAACGUUGGUUCAAAUUAGGUAUUUUAAAAAAAAGUAGGUCUUCUUGUUGUUUUUUAUCGUUUUUUUUUUUUAAUUGUAAUAUUCAUAACAAAGUUAGGUAGGAUAUUGAAAAGAAGAAACGAGCUCAGAGAUUAAUAGAUUGAACCUCAGCUCCUAGGUAUAUAAAAAAUCUAUUAUACCUCAAGUAAAUUAUUGUAUUUAAAACUUAUUGAACUUAAAUUAAAUUAAGUAUAUCGAACGGUAUCGUUACAGAUUUAAGUCCAUAUUUCUUUUAAAUACGUGAAUAAGUCUAUUUUAUUCUUCUUUUCAAUUGUUGAGCGUGUGAGAUAAAAAUUUCUAAAUUGAUUUUUGCUAUAAGUGACGUAAUACCCAAUAUAAUAAGUAACUCAUUGGAAUUUUAGUGGUUUGUAAAAGACCAGUGUGGGGUAUCCAAUGUACAAAUCAAUUUGAAUGUUUAUUUAUCUACCAAACAUUGUCUAACAAGCUUAAUAUAUAGGUGGAUUUCUUGCUAAGUUAGUAGUCUAUUUUCUAAAUAAAAGCAAAGGUGUUUUCUAUUGUGUAUAGGAGAAACAAACAAGUUUAAGUCUCCUGAAGGAUGAGGUUCAUCAAUUUUGAUAGGUGCAGAUAAAAAAUUAAAUAAAAAAGCUGGCUGCUUAGAAUAGCACAAUGCCUUAGAGAUAAAAAAUUAAAUCUUUGUAGAAGAAACUUAUGGUCCUACCCCCUAGGCGGUAUAUUCCAUGAAUUUUGAAGCAUAGAAUUUUCAAAAAAAUGCACUGCAUAUAUUUGAAUCUGCCUAUAUUGACAUCAAAUUAAAUCAAAUGCUUUAUUGUAUAUAGAGCUAAAAGCUCUUAUUUAAAAAAAACUUUAAAAAAUAAUAAAAAGUAUAUUUCUAUGUAAAUAAAGAAUACAUUGUUACAAACAGGUAGGUUACAAACUUCUAAAAUGUAAAUAAUUUUCAAUAACUUGUAACAUUGUAGACAUUAAAAUACUCAUCAUAGGUACAUAGAUAAAAAUAUGAUAACUCUAAACUUAACAGAAAUUAAAAAUAACAGAUACAUUAGUGUGAGUCUUAACUAUAAAACUUUAUUAUCAGUAUAAAAUUAAUCUAAGCAGUAGUAUGCUUUGGUCAAUAAAAAUUUGUUGACACUACGUGUAAAUUGCCUAUUGCUCUCUAUAUUUUUGCAUUCAAGAGGCAAGCAAUUAUAUAUUUUUUUACUUUCAUAUAUUAUAAAGUACUUUGUAAGAGAUGAUUUUGGAAUGCACAGAAGCAAAUUCUCACUAUGGUCCUAUAAGCAUUGUGACCAUGAUCAUAAGGUCCCUUGUAUUUCUUGUGGACCAAGUCAACUGUCAUCAAAAUAAAUAAGCAAGUCAAAGUGAGAAUGCUCUCCCCAACAAACAGAGGGCGACAAUGAUCCCUAAAGCCUGCUCCACACAGAUAUCUCACCUCUUGCUUCUGCUAUACAAAAAGCGUAGUUGAGACUCCACCAGGGCAAAAUAAACAUUUUUUGCUGUCGAGUUCACAGUGGAUCAAUCAAAUAUGGGUUUCAAAUUUCAGUUUUGAGUCAAUAAAAAUGCCCGAAAACUUAGAGCAGCCUGUUUUACUUAUGGAUACUCCACUUAGUGCCACGUUUGAAGUAUCUCCAUUGAAUGUUAUGAGAUUGGUUUAGCUUAUAUUAAUAAUCUGGGUUGCCUGUUCCCCGCCAAAGUAUUGUGGUGUCAUCAGCAAAUAUUGUGAAAGAUCCGUUAAUGUCGAUCAAAGCAAGAUCAUUAAUGUAGAUAAGAAAGAGUACUGGGCCAAGCAUCGAUCCUUGGGGAAAACCACACUGUACGACUCAAGCCAAGUCAAAGCACAACCUUUGAACCCAUAGCAAGACAGCUUUUGCAGCAGUAUUCUGCAAUCAACACAAUCAAAUGCCUUGGAAAAGUCACAGAACACCGCUACCGCAAUCUCACCUCUAUUUAGACCCAAAUAAAGCUCCUCUAGUAAAUUGAACACA
rnacentral:lncRNA from 1 species